GUCGAACGGUAACAGGAAACAGCUUGCUGUUUCGCUGACGAGUGGCGGACGGGUGAGUAAUGUCUGGGAAACUGCCUGAUGGAGGGGGAUAACUACUGGAAACGGUAGCUAAUACCGCAUAACGUCGCAAGACCAAAGAGGGGGACCUUCGGGCCUCUUGCCAUCGGAUGUGCCCAGAUGGGAUUAGCUAGUAGGUGGGGUAACGGCUCACCUAGGCGACGAUCCCUAGCUGGUCUGAGAGGAUGACCAGCCACACUGGAACUGAGACACGGUCCAGACUCCUACGGGAGGCAGCGGUGGGGAAUAUUGCACAAUGGGCGCAAGCCUGAUGCAGCCAUGCCGCGUGUAUGAAGAAGGCCUUCGGGUUGUAAAGUACUUUCAGCGGGGAUGAAGGGAGUAAAGUUAAUACCUUUGCUCAUUGACGUUACCCGCAGAAGAAGCACCGGCUAACUCCGUGCCAGCAGCCGCGGUAAUACAGAGGGUGCAAGCGUUAAUCGGAAUUACUGGGCGUAAAGCGCACGCAGGCGGUUUGUUAAGUCAGAUGUGAAAUCCCCGGGCUCAACCUGGGAACUGCAUCUGAUACUGGCAAGCUUGAGUCUCGUAGAGGGGGGUAGAAUUCCAGGUGUAGCGGUGAAAUGCGUAGAGAUCUGGAGGAAUACCGGUGGCGAAGGCGGCCCCCUGGACGAAGACUGACGCUCAGGUGCGAAAGCGUGGGGAGCAAACAGGAUUAGA
rnacentral:rRNA from 1 species